rnacentral:hammerhead_ribozyme from 1 species
AUCCAUCUGAUGAGUCCCAAAUAGGACGAAAUGCGCGUUCUGGAU